rnacentral:rRNA from 1 species
AGUGAACGCUGGCGGUAGGCCUAACACAUGCAAGUCGAACGGCAGCACAGUAAGAGCUUGCUCUUACGGGUGGCGAGUGGCGGACGGGUGAGGAAUACAUCGGAAUCUACUUUUUCGUGGGGGAUAACGUAGGGAAACUUACGCUAAUACCUCAUACGACCUACGGGUGAAAGCAGGGGAUCUUCGGACCUUGCGCGAUUGAAUGAGCCGAUGUCGGAUUAGCUAGUUGGCGGGGUAAAGACCCACCAAGGCGACGAUCCGUAGCUGGUCUGAGAGGAUGCUCAGCCACACUGGAACUGGGACACGGUCCAGACUCCUACGGGAGGCAGCAGAGGGGAAUAUUGGACAAUGAGCGCAAGCCUGAUCCAGCCAUACCGCGUGGGUGAAGAAGGCCUUCGGGUUGUAAAGCCCUUUUGUUGGGAAAGAAAAGCAGCAGGUUAAUACCCCGCUGUUCUGACGGUACCCAAAGAAUAAGCACCGGCUAACUUCGUG